rnacentral:rRNA from 1 species
UACGGAGGGGGCUAGCGUUGUUCGGAUUCAUUGGGCGUAAAGGGUGCGUAGGCGGUGAUGUAAGUUGGAUGUGAAAUCCCGGAGCUUAACUCCGGAACUGCAUUCAAUACUGCGUUGCUAGAGUGCUGGAGAGGAGAUUGGAAUUCACGGUGUAGCAGUGAAAUGCGUAGAUAUCGUGAGGAAGACCAGUGGCGAAGGCGAAUCUCUGGACAGUAACUGACGCUGAGGCACGAAGGCCAGGGGAGCAAACGGG